UUAUACUUUGUCUUUAGUUUCUACUCUUUCUGUUUUUUCUCACAUGGUAUUUUUGUUCUUCUUUUUCAGAAACUUGUGCUCUGUUCCCACGCUCCACGUCUAUAUUAAUGUCUCUCUUACUGAGCAGAGCUGAGCAGUCAAGAUGAAGCUAAGAUCAAGAGCUAACAUUGUCCAAAUGGAUAUCAGAUGCCAACUGUACUUCUUUGAGUCACAGAGAACCAUCUGGUCAUCUGGGUUUGAUGUCAUGAUGUGCUGUGAUAUUAUUAGACUGCUUAGCUUGAUGCAUGAGAAGGAUACAGAUUUAAGCAACAGGCAAAGGAGAAUUAUGUAUUUGAAGAAUAACAUGUUUUUAAGCUGCAAGAAGCAAAUCACCUAGAAUGUGUAUACCUCCAAGGAAAAUUCUGCUACACAAGAUAGUCACUGCAGAUUACUGAUGCUGUGCUAUUUCCAGCUGUUCAUUUUCCAAAGGUAAGUGAAAAAAAUAUAGUUUAAGAUUGUGGCAAGCAGUGAUUUGAAGCUAAUUUUGUACUUUCAUAUCCUUUUCCUCU